GUUGGAACUGUGGAUUUUACUAAAUCCCAGUUUAAAACUCAUUGUAUGCUAGCAAGUCCUGUCCAAAAUGAAUCUAGCCACAUUCCUGUUCUUUGUCAUUGCUGAUGAUAUUGAUAGGUACAAUUUGAUAUUGAUACUGGUAUUAUGUUCAUAAACUUGGAACCAUACAAGGAGUUCUUUAAAUCCGAAUGAGCUGUUGACACUGUAAUUGAG
rnacentral:misc_RNA from 1 species